AACGAACGCUGGCGGCGUGCUUAACACAUGCAAGUCGAACGCGAAAGGGACUUCGGUUCUUAGUAGAGUGGCGCACGGGUGAGUAACGCGUAGAUAACCUGUCUUCAUAUCCGGAAUAACACGCCGAAAGGGGUACUAAUACCGGAUAUUCUUGCAUUUCACAGGUAAGGCAAGGAAAGGUGGCCUCUGAUUCAAGCUACUGUAUGAAGAGGGGUCUGCGUACCAUUAGCUAGUAGGUGGGGUAAUGGCCUACCUAGGCGACGAUGGUUAGCGGGUCUGAGAGGAUGAUCCGCCACACUGGCACUGGAAUACGGGCCAGACUCCUACGGGAGGCAGCAGUGAGGAAUAUUGCGCAAUGGGGGCAACCCUGACGCAGCGACGCCGCGUGAGUGAGGAAGGUCUUCGGAUCGUAAAGCUCUGUCAAGAGGGAAGAAGUGCAAGGCAGCGAAUAACUGUUUUGUUUGACGGUACCUCUAAAGGAAGCACCGGC
rnacentral:rRNA from 1 species